ensembl:lncRNA
CUCUCUUUUCUGUCUUUUGUUAUUGCCGUGGCUAACUCUAAAAAUAGAACGGGCACUGCAUUAACCACUCUGACUUAUUUUUGCAAUUAUCCAUGUUUUAAGUAUUUGGCAAGCUGAAUGUAUCAAAAGUUUAUUCCAAAAACAACUGCGCCACAAACUGAUAAACCCACGCCGUUAAAUCUGAAAAUAAUACUCGACGUAAAACCCACAAUGGUGUCGAGCUCAAAAAUACUUUUACAAAGACAUGCUGAACUCCGUCUUGGUGGAGGGGUUGGACAGGGGGGCAGCUUGUGUGUGCCAUCACGAGUGCUGUGUGUGUCUUGUAGCAUGUCGCAUCAAACUUUUACCCCCCACGGACGCGCUCAGUCUGUCUCCCAAACUUGCGCAGACUUGCAUUAUGUCAGCUCGCGCUUUGCCACCCCAUUUGCUGUAGCUGUACUGCUGUGCGCGCAGACAGACUUAUCAAUCAAACGCGGCUUGAUGGAUUCUUCAGAACGAUGGAACGAUCGCCUCAGAAGAGCUGCGGAGUCUCGGAGCGCUUUUUUCUUUGACAUAAGGGUGUGUUUGAGGAGUCAGUGCACGUGUAUGAGGGGAAACUAAGAGAGAGCUAGAGAGAUGGGGGGCACUGCUGUUGUAAUAAUGUUGGAGUGGGUGUAUAAUGUGAGUAUACAAGCUGUUAAUCUCUCCUGUGUAGCUGUGUUUAAAUGUGUUUAUGCUUCAUUAAGCAUGCAUUACCUGCUUCAUUACUGCUGUGUUGCAGCCACUGCCAGUGAGUCUCACGCUCUGAGUGUGGGUGUGUGGAAGUUCAUCGCUCUCACAGACUGACCUGGCCCUGACAGGAUGCUUCAGUUUUGGAGGAAGUGAUCUUUUUUGGAGCAACUUGCUUUAGUUUCACUUGCGCAUUGAUGGGGGUAAUAUAAGGCUGGGUAAACAAUGACAGAAUUUUUAUUUUUGAGUGAACCGACAAGUUUGUGGAAAGAGUUGUAUAUUUUUAUCAGGUGUGGCCAGAUGAUGUCAGAUAAUGUCCUGUGGUUUUAUCAUGUUAUAUGCAAUUCUAAAUCAUUAAAAAUUAUGACCAGAACACAUGUAAACACACAUACAGUACAUCGAUAACUAUAUACCCUUCAAAAGAAUUAAGAACACAUUUGUAAACCACCUUAUAUUGGCACAAAUUAAAAAUUAUGUUGUAUGUUGUAAUGUAUUUUAUUUUAUUUUUUUUGUGAACAAUUCAUGCAUGUAUGUUUAAUUUUUUAAGGCAAGACACGUUUCAGGCACUGGUCCCAAAAUUUUAAGAUUUUGGGUGAUUUUGCUUCCAUAACUUGUCGUCUUUUAGACUAGUGAAAAAAGACAUCCAAAAAACACAUUCUGAGUGUUUAUGUUAUGUGUAGUACAGGUCAUCAUAAAAGGUGUUUUUUUUUUUUUCUCAAAAUAUGUUCAUUUCUCCUGCACUGAGCCAGAAAUAUCCACUUCAGGAGCACUUACACCAAACUAUACAGUUUAUUUCUAUUUAUAUUCUGAAGUUUUAUUUUUUCAUAUAACAUUCACUUGAUUUAUAUAAUAUUUUAUUCCUUAAAAAAUAUGGUGAAAAUGUUGUUGUUUUUUCUUGUUGAUGACAGUAUUUUUGAGUGAUAAAGAAAUAUAACCUACAGUAUGUAAAAACCUUCAACUCUAAGAUGUCAAUAAAAUGAAACAAGAACAUUAAACUUGGCUUUAUCCAAUUCAAUAUCCAAAACAACUGUUUUAAUGUCCUGUAAUUAAUCAACUGGGGAAAGUUUGGUGCUUGUUUAAAUUCACCUGUUUUGUCCUUGUAAUGGUGAAAAUGCUUCUUCUCUAGUGACGCAUGCUGGACUUCUCCAAUCAUUUAGUUUGCCUAAAACCACCCCUCCACAAUCCUCUGCAAGCUCACAGUCAUUUUUGAGUGCAACGACAUUGCAAGAUCCGAUUAAUGGCCGAUGAACAGACUCAAAUCUAAGCCCUUAAAAAAAAAUCUGUCCUUGCUUUCACUGCAACUUUAAGAUAAAAAUUGUAACAUUUAAUAAAUAAAUAGCCUAAUUCAUCAAACGUUUUGAUUAAUUAGGCUACUUUUUCAAAUUAGCAAUAAGUGAUGCACAUUACCCUUCUACAACAGCAAAAAAUGCCAAUUUCAUGCUAGAGCAUGAAAAAGCCCUCCAAAAAAGUAAGGGAUCAGCUGAUCAUUAUUACAAAACAAUAAUAUGAAGUAAUACAGCCUACAUUACAAAAUUAAUUUCUCUGUGUUUAUAAGUUACUUUUUCUAUGGACUAUUUAGACAGUAUAUUUAACCUAGCUAUAAUGUAACAUCUCUUCCUCUAUUGUAAGUUUUCACUCAUUUAGCUCUUUGUGUCUGACAAAUCAGUAUCAAGUAUAAAAUGUUUUUAAAAUUAGGGUUUUUAUGGCGUCAACCACAGUGUUAUAAUGGAGCAUUACUGCUAUGUAUGCAUGCUUAUUUAGGCUUACUUACAUCAUGGAUGUUCAUUGUGAGGAAAAUAUGUUCUUGUUCAAUUUAAU